CUUGCCCUAGGGUCAGCUGUGCUGGGAAGCUCAGGGCUAUAAAUUAGCAGAAAGAUCAGGGGCCAAUGUUGGCUGCAAUUGACUUACUUUCGAGGGAGUGUUUGUUACCAGCACCGUGUAAUCUCUGAAGACUCCAGUUGUUUUCAACUCGUCAGAGGCGGUUCAACCACCAGGCCAACUAGGCAGUUGCCUGUGGCGUCAUCUUGUUGGGGGCGCCAUCGAGGCAACUCCUGUCUCCUGCCACCUGCCUCCGCAAGCAUACUAUUCCCAAAGAUGCUUUGCCGAAUGGAAGAAAAUGGAAGGAGAAUCUGCACAGCUGCUGAUUAUUUUGGGAUCGCACACAUCCACUUAAUAAGGUUCUGA
rnacentral:lncRNA from 11 species